AAUGUUUGGUACAUAGGGAUUGGCACUAUUAGAAGGUCUGUCCUUGUUGAAGAAAGUGCGCCACUGUGGGUGCAAGCACUGAGGAAUCCUAUGCUCAUGUUGCACUCAGUGUGGCAGACUGUCUCCUUCUGCUGCCUAGGAAUCAAGCUGCAGAACUCUCAGCUCCUUCUCCAGCACCAUGCUUGCCUGAACUCGAUCACGUUUCCAUCCGUGGUGAUAAUGGACUAAACUUCUGAAACUGAAGCCUGGCUAGGAUUCUGAACACGAAACUACACCAAAAGCAAGCAUCUGAGUAGCUGAAGUAAAACUGAACUUGCCAAAGAGCAUAUAAAUAACCGACAGCAGAUCACAGAAGGGUGCUGAAGAGUAAAGCUAAAUGUCGAGAAUCAGACCUCACACGCUGCAGCUCCCUCCGCCCUGAGCCGACGAGAAUUCCUGGACGACACUGCUAACUCCCGCGAAGGCACAAAACUCACCUUUUGGGGACAGCUGCCUUAGAUCUUCCUCGUGGAGGCAACUCACCACAGCUACAUUUUGAUUCAUGGAAAACGCUGUCGCCUCCAAGAAAAACCGCUACUCAGCAGCAGAACCCCUCCACUCAGCUCUUCUCCGGAUGAGCCUCAUGCUUGAUAAAGUCUAAGAUAAUACAGGCGCUCUAACUUUGAAGAGAUCUUCCUUUGAGUUUUGGAACACCGCUUGCGGCUCAUGAGCGUCAGCUUCCUCGACAGGAGC